UACGUAGGUGGCAAGCGUUGUCCGGAUUUACUGGGCGUAAAGAGCGCGCAGGCGGUCGUUCAAGUCGCGUGUGAAAGCCCCCGGCUCAACUGGGGAGGGUCACGCGAUACUGAUCGACUGGAAGGCAGGAGAGGGUAGUGGAAUUCCCGGUGUAGUGGUGAAAUGCGUAGAUAUCUGGAGGAAUACCGGUGGCGAAGGCGGCAUCCUGGACCGGCAUUGACGCUGAGGAGCGAAAGCCAGGGGAGCAAACGGG
rnacentral:rRNA from 1 species